UGCCGCUAAAGCUGAGCUCGGCAGGGGUUACCACGGUUACGCGUCUCCAAAAGCAAGGAGGCUCUCAGGAAGUGACGUUGAAAAUUACAACUCUGUGAGUC